rnacentral:rRNA from 1 species
AAUGAACGUUGGCGGCGUGGAUUAGGCAUGCAAGUCGAGCGAGAACCCAGCAAUGGGGGACAGCGGCGAAAGGGACAGUAAUGUGUAGAUUAUCUGCCCCUCGGGUCCGGGAUAGCUGCGGGAAACUGCAGGUAAUACCGGAUAACAUCUCCGGAUCAAAGGUGUGAUUCCGCCCGAGGAUGAGUCUGCAUCCUAUUAGCUUGUUGGUGGGGUAAUGGCCUACCAAGGCUUUGAUGGUAGCGGGUGUGAGAGCACGACCCGCGUCAUUGGGACUGAGACACUGCCCCAGACACCUACGGGUGCUGCAGUCGAGAAUCUUCGGCAAUGGGCGCAAGCCUGACCGAGCGACGCCGCGUGUGGGAUGAAGGCCCUU